ensembl:lncRNA
GAGGGAGAGCCCGGCACAUAGAGGAUGCUGUGGAUGUCUCAGACUGCCUGUGUAUAUAUAUGUGUGUGUGUCUGUGACCGUCUGUUCUCGUGAGUGCACGCCAGCUUACAUGUGAGAAUGUGUGCGUAUAUGUGUGUGUGUCAUUUAUGAAUGCCCCCCGCUUUGUUUCAGUUGAGGUUCUCGGGAUAUUUGAUUAUUCACGUUUUGAACAAUGGAUCCAAAUCUUACAGGCAACUUUCCCUAUUGUUCAGUGGAUAUACUGUAUCUGUGUAUUCUUCCGUCAGCAACAACAAUCUGCGGGCUACGUCGUUCCUCAUCAGCCUGCCUUACAUACCACAGACUUGGGAUGUCGUUGGCAGCACGCCAUUUCAAUUAUCUUUCGCUCUCACUUUCUCCAGAGUAAUCUUUUAAUCUUACUGCUAUCCACCGAAGUCUCAGCCCAGUCUUUGAAAAUCACUUAGCAUUUUUCCCCCCUCUCUUUAAUGUUCAUCAAAUAUUGAAUUCUUUUUUUUUCUUUUUUUCAGUCUGAAUGUGUGUCUUGCAGCAGCAGCCUGUGCGGACACCCGCUGCAUGCUUCAUAAUAAUAAUAAUAAGGAUGAUGAUGAUGAUGAUGAUGUGGCUGGGGAGCAGCGCUUUGAUGAUCAGGUUCUGAUGAUUGUUUGUACACCACUCUUGUGCAUGAACAUUAGGUGUGCGUCCCCGCCAGUGGGUUUCACUGUUUUAAUAACCAGUUAGCAGUUUUGUGCCUUGCAAAUCUGGAAAUGCAUCACCAAAACGCACAGAUGAUGGUUUUAUAUAUAUUAAUUUUAAGAUGAAUACUUCACUGCAGUCUCAGAUCUUCACAUUUGUUCAGAUACUAGUGGCUGUGAUUUGACUGGAUCAGGUAGUAUCUCAUUAUACUGCACCGGGACUCAUAUCAGUGUGGCAGUAAGCCAAGUGGAACAAAGCAUUGUAUUGUCUCAUACUCAGUGUAAUCUGUCUUUUGAAACAAGGCGUGCGAACUGUUAAGUGCAGGAGAAAAAAAUUACAUGUUUUGACACCGUGCCGCGACAGAUGCUGCUUGUUAAGUUGUAGAGUAUCAUGGUGCUGCCACUGCUCAUUUUCUCCCUCCUUUAGGGUUUGUUUGUUUCAGCCGCGUUUGGAUCAAGUCUAAUUAUCCAUCCAUCUUCAUCCGCUUUAUCCGAGGCCGGGUUGCGGGGGCAGCAGCCUAAGCAAAGAGGCCCAGACCUCCCUCUCCCCAGCCACCUCCUCCAGCUUAUCCCGGGGAAUACCAAGGCGUUCCCAGGCCAGCCGAGAGAUAUAAU